rnacentral:ncRNA from 1 species
CCCGCUGAGUUUAAGCAUAUAAAAAAGCGGAGGAAAAGAAACUAACAAGGAUUCUCUUAGUAACGGCGAGCGAACCGGGAAAAACCCACCAUGAGAAUCGGUCGCCUUUGGUGUUCGAAUUGUAGUCUGGAGAAGCGUCCUCAAUGGCGGUCGGGACCAAGUCCCCUGGAAGGGAGCGCCAGAGAGGGUGAGAGCCCCGUUGUGCCCGGACCCUGUCGCACCACGAGGCGCUGUCGGCGAGUCGGGUUGUUUGGGAAUGCAUCCCCAAUCGGGCGGUAAAUUCCGUUCAAGGCUAAAUACUGGCGAGAGGCCGAUAGCGAACAAGUACCACAAGGGAAAGAUAAAAAGGAAUUUGAAAAGAGAGUCAAAGAGUGCUUGAAAUUGUCGGGAGGGAAGCGGAUGGGGGUCGGCGAUGUGUGCCGGUCGGAUGUGGAACGGUGUGAGCCGGUCCGCCGAUCGACUCGGGACAUUGACCGACCCGGAUUGCAGCGG